UAGGUGGCACAAUGGACAAAGCGCCAGGCCUGGAGUCUGGAAGACUCAUCUUCCUGAGUUCAAAUCUGGCCACAGACACAUACCAGCUGUGUGACCCUGGGC
ensembl:miRNA mdo-mir-12324b mdo-mir-12324b